rnacentral:misc_RNA from 1 species
UAAGGAAGAGCAGAUUUAAUCUGCAAUGGGGAUUAACCCCGUGCUGUUUCAAGAAGACAGAAGUCUGAGG